UACGGGGGGGGCAAGCGUUGUUCGGAAUUACUGGGCGUAAAGGGCUCGUAGGUGGCCAACUAAGUCAGACGUGAAAUCCCUCGGCUUAACCGGGGAACUGCGUCUGAUACUGGAUGGCUUGAGUUUGGGAGAGGGACGCGGAAUUCCAGGUGUAGCGGUGAAAUGCGUAGAUAUCUGGAGGAACACCGGUGGCGAAGGCGGCGGCCUGGACCAAUACUGACACUGAGGAACGAAAGCUAGGGGAGCAAACAGG
rnacentral:rRNA from 1 species